UACAGGGGUCUCGAGCGUUAAUCGGAAUCACUGGGCUUAAAGGGUGCGUAGGCUGGCCCGUAAGUGCUUUGUGAAAUCCCACGGCUCAACCGUGGAAUUGCAGGGCAUACUGCGGGUCUUGAGGAAGGUAGAGGUCGACGGAACGAUAGGUGGAGCGGUGGAAUGCAUAGAGAUCUAUCGGAACGCCAAAAGUGAAGACAGUCGACUGGGCCUUUCCUGACGCUGAGGCACGAAAGCGUGGGUAGCAAACCGG
rnacentral:rRNA from 1 species